AUAGUUUUAUAAUUUAUCAUCAGUUUUUCUAAGUUUUAUAAAUAAAAAAGAAACCGUGAAGAUACGGUAUUGGGUCUAGACGGCGUUGUAAGAUCCUCGUAAUCCGCCAUCUUUUUCCGGUUAUACACGUGGUACCGGCAUAAGGCAUUCUCGUGCACCGCUUGUUUCCAUUCGUGUUUCUGAAAACAAGAUCUGCACAAUCUUCCUGUUAUUCGUAAGCAUCGUUAAAUAGCAUGUAAUUGAAUUUUUAUCGGCUCUUGACACAUCUUAUUUUCUACACAUUCUAUUUCUAUAAAGUAAUAUAUAUAACUAAAACUUCACUUCGACGGAAGCUGUGCUG